rnacentral:rRNA from 1 species
CUACCUAGAGGGAUCAGCCUGUCGGCGGGACAUGAUUCCUUCCGCGGUGUACGCUUAUCGAAGCCUCUGCAGCCACGCAAGUGGUAGGCCCGGGCGACUCUAAACAACCCGGUGCCGCUGCAAGUCCGCGCCCCCUCCCGGGACGUGGGCGACACUUUUGAAUUGACGGGGACACCCUAACGCCGAACGCACCAAGCCGUGCCGGGAAACCGCACGGGGGCCCAUGCGAAAGACAUGGGGGACGGUUACAGACGAUUCGGAUGACCUGCCACGGCAGCGAAAUGGGCAAUCCGCAGCGAAGCCCCUACGGCCUCCUGCCUGCGCGGCGGGAAGGCUACGGGGAACGUUCACAGACUAAGUGGAAGUGGGUGGGAUGCCGAAUCCUGCUUAAGAUAUAGUCGGGCCCCCUGGGAGACCAGGGGGGCAAGUACACUGCUCGUGCGUGUGUAAAGCUGUUCCGUAGGUGAACCUGCGGAAGGAUCAUUACCGAGUGCGGGCCCGCUCUGGGCCCAACCUCCCACCCGUGUCUCUCGCGUACUUUGUUGCUUUGGCGGGCCCACACUGGGUCACUCCGGUCGCCGGGGAGCGCUAUGCUCCCGGGCCCGUGCCCGCCAGAGCACCCCUGUGAACCCUGAUGAAGAGAGGCUGUCUGAGUCCCACGAUAAUCGUUAAAACUUUCAACAAUGGAUCUCUUGGUUCCGGCAUCGAUGAAGAACGCAGCGAAAUGCGAUAAGUAAUGUGAAUUGCAGAAUUCCGUGAAUCAUCGAAUCUCUGAACGCACAUUGCGCCCCCUGGCACUCCAGGGGGCAUGCCUGUCCGAGCGUCAUUUCUGCCCUCAGCGCGGCUUGUGUGUUGGGCGUGGUCCCCCUGUCUUUGGCGGGGACCUGCCCGAAAGGCAGCGGCGACGUCCCGCCUAGUCCUCGAGCGUAUGGGGCUCUGUCACGCGCUCGGGAGGGACUGGUGGGGCGUUGGUCACCCCUUAAUUCUUUCUACGUGACCUCGGAUCAGUAGGAGUACCCGCUGACUAGCAAUCUCUAUCGCGCGAGAAGGAAAA